AUGAACGCUAGCUACAGGCUUAACACAUGCAAGUCGAGGGGCAGCAUGGUCUUAGCUUGCUAAGGCCGAUGGCGACCGGCGCACGGGUGAGUAACACGUAUCCAACCUGCCGUCUACUCUUGGACAGCCUUCUGAAAGGAAGAUUAAUACAAGAUGGCAUCAUGAGUCCGCAUGUUCACAUGAUUAAAGGUAUUCCGGUAGACGAUGGGGAUGCGUUCCAUUAGAUAGUAGGCGGGGUAACGGCCCACCUAGUCUUCGAUGGAUAGGGGUUCUGAGAGGAAGGUCCCCCACAUUGGAACUGAGACACGGUCCAAACUCCUACGGGAGGCAGCAGUGAGGAAUAUUGGUCAAUGGGCGAGAGCCUGAACCAGCCAAGUAGCGUGAAGGAUGACUGCCCUAUGGGUUGUAAACUUCUUUUAUAAAGGAAUAAAGUCGGGUAUGGAUACCCGUUUGCAUGUACUUUAUGAAUAAGGAUCGGCUAACUCCGUGCCAGCAGCCGCGGUAAUACGGAGGAUCCGAGCGUUAUCCGGAUUUAUUGGGUUUAAAGGGAGCGUAGAUGGAUGUUUAAGUCAGUUGUGAAAGUUUGCGGCUCAACCGUAAAAUUGCAGUUGAUACUGGAUAUCUUGAGUGCAGUUGAGGCAGGCGGAAUUCGUGGUGUAGCGGUGAAAUGCUUAGAUAUCACGAAGAACUCCGAUUGCGAAGGCAGCCUGCUAAGCUGCAACUGACAUUGAGGCUCGAAAGUGUGGGUAUCAAACAGGAUUAGAUACCCUGGUAGUCCACACGGUAAACGAUGAAUACUCGCUGUUUGCGAUAUACUGCAAGCGGCCAAGCGAAAGCGUUAAGUAUUCCACCUGGGGAGUACGCCGGCAACGGUGAAACUCAAAGGAAUUGACGGGGGCCCGCACAAGCAGUGGAGUAUGUGGUUUAAUUCGAAGCAACGCGAAGAACCUUACCAAGGCUUGACAUAUACAGGAAUAUUUAAGAGAUUAAAUAGCUCUUCGGAGUCUGUAUACAGGUGGUGCAUGGUUGUCGUCAGCUCGUGUCGUGAGAUGUUGGGUUAAGUCCCGCAACGAGCGCAACCCCUAUUGUUAGUUGCUACGCAAGAGCACUCUAGCGAGACUGCCGUUGACAAAACGGAGGAAGGUGGGGACGACGUCAAAUCAUCAUGCCCCUUAUGUCCUGGGCUACACACGUAAUACAAUGGCAUUUAACAGAGGGAAGCAAAACCGCGAGGUAGAGCAAAUCCCUAAAAGGUGUCUCAGUUCGGAUUGCAGGCUGCAACCCGCCUGCAUGAAGUUGGAAUCGCUAGUAAUCGCGGAUCAGCAUGCCGCGGUGAAUACGUUCCCGGGCCUUGUACACACCGCCCGUCACACCAUGAGAGUUGGGGAUACCCGAAGCCUGUGAGCCAACAGUUAAAUGAGGCAGCAGUCGAAGGUAGAAUCAAUGAUUGGGGUG
rnacentral:rRNA from 1 species